CUUAACACAUGCAAGUCGAGCGGUAACAGGGGGAGCUUGCUCCSUGCUGACGAGCGGCGGACGGGUGAGUAAUGCAUAGGAAACUGCCCAGUAGUGGGGGAUAGCCCGGGGAAACCCGGAUUAAUACCGCAUACGCCCUUUGGGGGAAAGCAGGGGAUCUUCGGACCUUGCGCUAUUGGAUGUGCCUAUGUCGGAUUAGCUAGUUGGUGGGGUAAGAGCCUACCAAGGCGACGAUCCGUAGCUGGUCUGAGAGGAUGAUCAGCCACAUCGGGACUGAGACACGGCCCGAACUCCUACGGGAGGCAGCAGUGGGGAAUAUUGGACAAUGGGGGCAACCCUGAUCCAGCCAUGCCGCGUGUGUGAAGAAGGCUUUCGGGUUGUAAAGCACUUUCAGUGAGGAGGAAAACCUCUGCGACUAAUACUCGURAGGCUUGACGUUACUCACAGAAGAAGCACCGGCUAACUCCGUGCCAGCAGCCGCGGUAAUACGGAGGGUGCAAGCGUUAAUCGGAAUUACUGGGCGUAAAGCGCGCGUAGGUGGUUUGAUAAGCGAGAUGUGAAAGCCCCGGGCUCAACCUGGGAACGGCAUUUCGAACUGUCAGGCUAGAGUAUGGUAGAGGAGUGUGGAAUUUCCUGUGUAGCGGUGAAAUGCGUAGAUAUAGGAAGGAACACCAGUGGCGAAGGCGGCACUCUGGACCAAUACUGACACUGAGGUGCGAAAGGUGGGGAGCAAACAGGAUUAGAUACCCUGGUAGUCCACGCUGUAAACGAUGUCAACUAGCCGUUGGGACUCUUGAAGUCUUAGUGGCGCMACUAAACGCACUAAGUUGACCGCCUGGGGAGUACGGCCGCAAGGUUAAAACUCAAAUGAAUUGACGGGGGCCCGCACAAGCGGUGGAGCAUGUGGUUUAAUUCGCCGCAACGCGAAGAACCUUACCUGGCCUUGACAUGCAGAGAACUUUCCAGAGAUGGAUUGGUGCCUUCGGGAACUCUGACACAGGUGCUGCAUGGCCGUCGUCAGCUCGUGUCGUGAGAUGUUGGGUUAAGUCCCGUAACGAGCGCAACCCCUAUCCCUAGUUGCUAGCAGUUCGGCUGAGAACUCUAGGGAGACUGCCGGUGACAAACCGGAGGAAGGUGGGGAUGA
rnacentral:rRNA from 1 species